rnacentral:rRNA from 1 species
AACCGGAUUAGAUACCCUGGUAGUCCACGCCGUAAACGAUGAUAACUAGCUGUCGGGGCUCUUAGAGCUUCGGUGGCGCAGCUAACGCAUUAAGUUAUCCGCCUGGGGAGUACGGCCGCAAGGUUAAAACUCAAAUGAAUUGACGGGGGCCUGCACAAGCGGUGGAGCAUGUGGUUUAAUUCGAAGCAACGCGCAGAACCUUACCAGCGUUUGACAUGUCCGGACGAUUUCGGGAGACCGAUCUCUUCCCUUCGGGGACUGGAACACAGGUGCUGCAUGGCUGUCGUCAGCUCGUGUCGUGAGAUGCUGGGUUAAGUCCCGCAACGAGCGCAACCCUCGCCUUUAGUUACCAUCAUUCAGUUGGGGACUCUAAAGGAACCGCCGGUGAUAAGCCGGAGGAAGGUGGGGAUGACGUCAAGUCCUCAUGGCCCUUACGCGCUGGGCUACACACGUGCUACAAUGGCGGUGACAGUGGGCAGCAAUCCCGCAAGGGUGAGCUAAUCUCCAAAAGCCGUCUCAGUUCGGAUUGUUCUCUGCAACUCGAGAGCAUGAAGGCGGAAUCGCUAGUAAUCGCGGAUCAGCAUGCCGCGGCGAAUACGUUCCCAGGCCUUGUACACACCGCCCGUCACACCAUGGGAGUUGGAUUCACCCGAAGGCAGUGCGCUAACCGCAAGGAGGCAGCUGACCACGGUGGGUUCAGCGACUGGGGUGAAGUCGUAACAAGGUAGCCGUA